CAGCAGCCGCGGUAAUACGAAGGGUGCAAGCGUUAAUCGGAGCUACUGGGCGUAAAGCGUGCGUAGGCGGUGAGUUAAGUCUGCUGUGAAAUCCCCGGGCUCAACCUGGGAAUGGCAGUGGAUACUGGCUCGCUAGAGUGUGUCAGAGGAUGGUGGAAUUCCCGGCGUAGCGGUGAAAUGCGUAGAGAUCGGGAGGAACAUCAGUGGCGAAGGCGGCCAUCUGGGACAACACUGACGCUGAGGCACGAAAGCGUGGGGAGCAAACAGGAUUAGAUACCCCCGUAGUCCCUGUCUCUUAUAC
rnacentral:rRNA from 1 species